AUCUGACACCUGCCCUGAUAGUGUUAUCUGUUUUCCAGUACUUGCACACUGCUCAGUGCUCUUAGCUUGGCGUGAAACAUAUACAGUAGGUUUUACUUACAGGUGAGCAGUGUGAGCUGGGACAGUAAUUUUCUGCAAAUGCAAUGUUCCAACAUUUAGUUUCAUUUUUUUUAAAUGAUCUGCUCUCCUCGACUAGUAUUUGUACAAUUUAUAGCUUUUUCAGACUGAAGAAAUCUCAUUAGCCUCAUUUUAGUUUUAACAUGGGAAUGUCCUAUAGCCUGAUCCUCCACAUAGGCGCUGGAGAGUGUUCUUAACAGGACAUUGACAACUUCACUUACGACCUUGCUGACCUGAAGCCAGGUUCUAACUUGGAGUCUGACUUUGUUUUCCCUCCCCUGACUAAUGUUAACAUGAACUACAGUAUCUAGCCAUGUGUGAAAAACAAGAUCCCUGUGAGUAGAUGCACUGUGGACCUCACAGGCUGUGUGUAAAGAAGGACGGAAAGCCUGUCUUCGCUUCAGAGUCUAACAUCUGCUCUGUAUAGGGGAUUCUUACUACUGCACCUUUGUCAGUAGUAACACUUUGCUGUGAUUGUGGCUAGUACAUGUCCAUACUGUCUUGUUGCUUUUGCAGAUCAAUAGACAGCAGAGGAACCUGCCCCUAGCCCUGGCCACCGGCUCUCUGCCUUUAAACCCUAGCAGCUCCAGCGUUGUCUUGGAAACAGACUUUGGCCUGAUGCUGCGGUAUGACUGGCAUCAGAACCUUGAAUUGGAAGUGGCACCGGAGCUGUCUGGUUCACUGUGUGUUCUCUGUGGAAACUACAGCCACAAUGCAACUAAUGACUUUGCCACCCCUGAUGGAACUGUGGCGGCUGUGGACUUUCAGGCUGCUGCAGAGCCACGUCCAUGUUGUUCCUGAACAGGACGUCUGCAGCUGCAAGGCUGACCAAUGUGCUUCUGAUGGAGCUCCUUCUGCUGUCUGUAGGUCGAUGCAGGCCUACUCUGACAUAUGUCAGAGGCCAGCUACCUCCCAGUGCAAGGACGGCUAUCUGCUCAGUGGCAGCCAUUGUGUCCCAGACAGCAGGUGUGGCUGCAGCCAUCAAGGUCUCUACUACCUGCCCAAGGAGAUGUUCUGGAUGGACCGCCAGUGUCGGAAGCAGUGCACCUGCCAUCCUUCCUCCAAGAAUGUCACCUGUGUCCAGGCCCAGUGUCAGGAGGAUGGUCCAUGGUUACUCUAUUGAGAUCUCUCAUUACUGGGAUGAAGUAGUUGUAGUGAAUGGGAUUAUUUUGAGCCUUCCCUCAGUGUUGAGCCAAGGUAAAGUGAAGAGCUCUUCACGUGUAUUGAGACUGACUUUGGUGUCCUGGUCACAUACAACUGGAACCUCCUGACUGUCCAAGUGCCCAUGGUCUUCUCUGGAUCACUCUAUGGCCUGUGUGGGAACUUCAACGCGGACCCAGAGGACUAUCUAACAGACGACGGGGACAUCUAUGGCUGUGAGGCGCUGGAAAACUAGUAACGUUGUUGAAUGUGUGGAUGUGACGACUGUGAACAAUCCCCAAUGUCCCAUCAGGAUCAGGUUCUCUAUUUAGGCAGGGACUACUGAGGGAGUGUUCCAGAACUGCCACGGGAUGGUCAACCCCAAACGCUGCCUUUGACAACUGUCUACGACCUCUGCUACAACAAUGACAAGCAGACUGCCCUGUGUCAGAUUCUCUCAAGUUACACCGCUGCUUGCCAGGAGGAAGGGGCAAACGUAGAUGAAUGGAGGCUUCAGAUUAUUGUGAUCUGUACUGUCCAGCCAACAUUGAAUACAACCUGUGCGCUCCAUCCCUGUGCCCAACAAUUGUGUGGCGUCUCGUGUAAACCUGGGUUCUUCCAUAGUGGUGGGAAGUGUGUCCCCAACACUGAGUGCGGCUGCCUCUGACGGUUUGUGCCACAAGAUCAAGGCAGUGUUUUACGCCCAUGAUCAUUGCCAGGUUGCUUCUCUUGUCGGUCACAGCUAGCUAUCAUGCACUGACACCACCUGUUCCAGUGGAACAGAGUGUAGGAUCCAAAAUGGACCCCGUGACUGCUAUCCAGCGCCAGUUUCAGGGAAGUGCAAAGUGGUGGGAGGCAGGCACUUGGACCUAUGAUGGGCAUAGCUUUGAUCUCCAUAUGGGCAUAUCAAGAAGCCCCCAUUUCCUAAACCAGACAUAUGCCAAGAAUGGAGCAGAUACAUUUUAUAUAUACAGCAAGGUCAGCUACACCUGAGGUACAAGGGACUGAAUGACUGUGGAACCGCAGCAGAGGGGGAUGGUUGAGGUCUGACCUUUGUCUCAAGGUGAAAAGGGCUUCCUGGAACCUUCCGGUCCACCAGGAGAGUAUCAUUGCUAUGCUGUCUGGUCUGACAACACAGGUGGAAAUGGACAAUGGGGCAGUGAUCACGUACGGUGGACCUGACUUCAUACAGCUGUUAUCUCCUCCUGCCUACGCUGGCAAGGCAUGUGGGUGGUGUUGAAACUUCAACAGCGCUGCUACAGAUGACACUCAGAUGGUCCGUGACGUUUUCCUGUCUGGGGUCAUCUGCCCAGAGUGUAACUGGACCUUGGCGGCUGAGUUCAAGUUGGAGCAUUUCUGUGGAGUCCUCUCAGCUCCUGCUGGCCUCUUCAGAGACUGCCACGCCACAGUAGACACACAACCUUUCUUGGACAACUGUGUAAAGGCCCCUGUGUGUGUCUUGAAGGGAUAUGGCAAAGUACUGUGGCAGCCUGAAGGAUUAUUGGGGCGGCAGGGUAGCCUAGUGUUUAGAGCGUUGGACUAGUAACCGAAAGGUUGCAAGUUCGAAUCCCCGAGCUGAUUAGUACAA